UCGCACUGUUUUUGUUUUGGCCAGCAGAGGGCGCUACCGGGUCGCUGGAGCAGCUCCAUAUCACUCUUCUUCUGCAACUAACUACUUCCUAGGUUGCCAUUAAAACGAAGAAGAAGAAGCAGAAGAAGCCGAAGAAGCCGAAGAAGCAGAAGAAGCAGAAGAAGCAGAAGAAGCCGAAGAAGCAGAAGAAGCAGAAGAAGCCGAAGAAGCCGAAGAAGCCGAAGAAGCCGAAGAAGCCGAAGAAGCCGAAGAAGCCGAAGAAGCCGAAGAAGCCGAAGAAGCCGAAGAAGAAGAAGAAGAAGCAGCAGCAGCAGCAGCAGCAGCAGCAGCAGCAGCAGCAGCAGAAGAAGAAGAAAAAGAAAAAAAGGGAAAAAAGGAAAGAAGAAGAAGAAGAAGACGACGACGAAAACGACAACGACAACGACGAUAACAACAACAAAACAAACAACAAAACAAAAAAACAAACAAACAAACAAACAAACCAAAAAAAAAGUACUUGCAGAAAACUGUUGUGUUUUUCAGAAGCAAGUUUCAAGUGAAUCCACAACAUCAGCACAAACGUCUUUUGAAGCCAGGACGUAACCAGGGAUAGUGGAGAGGAAGGAGAAGAGGAAGACUGGAUAGGAAGAAGAGAGAAAGAGUUAGAGGAAGAGAGCGGUUUGGAAGAUGGUGAGGACCUGGCUUAAUACAGACACCAGCAGCAAGCUGAGGUUUGUCUCCGGAGGUGACAUCCAGACCAACAUUGAUCCCUGGCCAAAGACUCGGCUGCUUGUGAAAACCAUCGGCAGAGAACCAGAUGCCACUCCAAUAUGUGCCAAUGAUACACAGCAUGAGCUCGUAAUGUUAAUAUGUAGGAUCACCACAGAGAGGAGCAGAGGAGAAGAGUGUCAACUAACGUAUAAAUAUGGACAUGACUUUAACAAUAGUUGUGACUCCAGGUUCACACUUAUGACAGAGAAUCAGACUGUCUUUCUCCACCUGACCAGUUUAACACCGGAGGACAGUGGGAACUACUCCUGUCAGUGUGCAAACUCUGGUGGAACAUUUAAGCUGCAUAUCAACAUCACAGUGGAAGGGGAUGAAAGCAUCAGCAGGUCUACAGAAAUACCCUUCCCUUAUGUUGGAGUUGGUGUAAUUAUAUUCCUCAUUAUAACUGGAGGUGUCCUGGGAUUGAUCUACGGAAAACUUCAUAAUGGUAGAAGACAACUAGAACCCAUGACCAGCCACGCAACCAUGGAGCCGGGAGACAUUGAACCGUACAGCACUUUCAUCCAGAAAGAGAAUGAACUUUACUCAGUCGCCAUGAUGUACAGAAACACAUGAUACACUAAAACUGAUGCUGAUAAUUCAGAUGUGUUCGCCAGAGAUGACACAGAUUUCGGAAUUCCUUUAUACAGCAUCCAUUAUACAAUACCUACCGCUAUGUGACGCAUGUUUUUCUAUUGAUUAACAAGUGAAACUGGGCCUGCCGUCCAUAAGGAAACUAUUUUAGUUUGCCAUUAUUUCACUCACUCAUUUGUCCUUUUAAAAUGUUAAAUUCCCUUUUGUAAAUUUAAUAUUCUUAAAGGCAUGAGAGCAUUUUACUGCCUAAAAAUAUGAUAUAUUUUAAUAUAUUAAUUAUUACAAAAUAAUAGUUAAAACAAAAUUUGCAUUUGUUCUUUUGAUGCCCACUGUUUUGUACCUGCAAAUCCAAAAUAUUCAGAUAUGUAAAUAUGUUUUAGAUUAUAUUUAAAACAAAUAUCUCAUGUAUUUUCAUGAGACAUAUAAGGAUUUCUAUGUGAAUCCAAAUAAUAUACACAAGCUCUGCAAUGCUUUCGGAUGUAUGAUAAGUGAUGUACACAGGCGUGUUUCAAGGUGUUUUGUUUUAGCGUGAACGUCAGUUGUCAGUUUGACCUGUCACUUCCUGUACUAACACACGUCUACCAUGAGGCUUUCUCAGCCGCCUCCAUGAUGUUGCAGGUGCCUUCUUACCUCUCUGGCACAUACAUCGAUUUAAAGAGAGACCCAGCAGUGGGGUAUUUUAUCAUUUUUUAUUAUACAUGCUGUGAGUGUGACUCAUUUCACAUAGUAAGAAAUAUGAGUAUUUUAAGUCUUUGAAUCUUGAUGCUUUGACACAAACCAACAAAACAGCUAAGUUAAGGCAAAAAACACAUUUGAGCUUUUAUUUUUUCUUGUCACAGAUUAUCUUCAUCUGUCUGAGUUGUCCUGAUUUCUCCAACUAUCCAAAUUACAUGACAGGAAGAAUGAGGGUGGCGAUCAUAAUUGCAUUUUGUGACGCUCGGAGAUUAAUUAUUUUUUUAUAUUUAGACUGAAGUGUCCUGCAUCAGACUCACUUAUGCAACCACCAGUGGUAUUAACACCCACCAAUGCAUAGACAUCCUUGUAUCAGCUUUGAGUGGUGUGUUAGUUGUCAUUGGCGUUUCCUGUCGUCUCUCUGCCGUCUACUCUCUCUUAAACCUUUGGCCUCUGGGGUCUUAAAAGUACUUCAAAGUAGAUGUAGUCAAAUAUAACACUUCCUGUUUAGCACAAGCUCACAGACCUAUGAGGUAUUUUAGGUCGUUUUGUGGUUUAGGGAGCAAAAGGGUUGUGUCAGUGUUUGUCCUCCUCCCCUCUGAAGUUUGGUAGAAUCACAUUUAGCUAUCAUUGCUUUUCCUAACAGUGAGUUUAAAAGAGUGUAACCCACUAUUUACUUUAUCCUGCUCAUUGUUAUGCAAGAAAUAUGUUUGCUUAUGUCAUUCAUAAAAAAAAAUAAAUAAACGAAGAAUUAGCUGCUCAAACACUGUCACUAUUUUACUUUUUGAUAGUAUUAAUAUGAAGGCAGAGGCCUGUAGAAGCUCUUCCUUUUUAGAACAGUUCUCAUCUGCUCAAAUGUUGUGAGAGUGGGGGUUUGCGGUUUAAGCAACCAGAGAAAAGUGCAAAGUAGUGUGUCCCGUCAGUGCAGUACACUGUGCACUACCAGCAGCCGUUGCUUCAUGACCAGUGUGGGUGGAUGGAGUCCGUUCUUUGUUCUGCUUUGUUUUAACGGCAAAGGUACUGUACAGUUUUAAUGUUCAUAGGUCAAAUUGAUGCAAGUCAUUAUUCUUGAAUAAUCUUUGUCUUUGGGGAAUAUUAAAUCAUAUUAGUUUACACCAAACACCUAAAUACGGUGCUACUGCUAACUUAUUAAAUGUUGAUUGAUUGCAGUGACUCUUAAAAACCCUCAGGAAUAAACCAUAUUCUUGCUUAGAUGUCUUGACCAGUAUGGGGAGAUGGGAACUGUGUUUUCUUCUGCUUCUGCCAUUCAUUUUUUAUAUUGACAGCCAAGGUACUGUACAGAAACUUCUUUAUGUAUAACUUAUGUAACACAUUGUUCUCUGUUGUUCACUAUGUCUUUGGUUUUAAAGGAGUAACAGAAUAUGUUUGUAUAAUUUACUUAUUCAAUGCAGUUAAAGUUUAUCAGGCAUUUACAUAGGCAAGAAAUCAGUAAACACUCAUUGACUAUUUCAUAUGAUAUUGAUUUUUUAUUUCAAUUAUGUGAUUGCAGAGAAUUGGCUGCUUGUGAAAACCAUCGGCAGAGAACCAGAUGCCACUCCAAUAUGUGCCAAUGAUACACAGCAUGAGCUCGUAAUGUUAAUAUGUAGGAUCACCACAGAGAGGAGCAGAGGAGAAGAGUGUCAACUAACGUAUAUAUAUGGACAUGACUUUAACAAUAGUUGUGACUCCAGGUUCACACUUAUGACAGAGAAUCAGACUGCAUUUCUCCACCUGACCAGUUUAAGACCGGAGGACAGUGGGAACUACUCCUGUGAGUGUGCAAACACUGCUGGAACAUUUCAGCUGCAUAUCAACAUCACAGUGGAAGAGGAUGAGGAGCUCAGCAGUUCAACAGAAAUCCUCAUCCCAUGUGCUUUGACUGGUGCAGCUGUGGUCAUCAUUAUAACUGGAGUUAUUCUGGGAUUUAUCCACAAGACCAAAAGAUACCGUUCAUGGUCGAUCAUAGUCGAUCAUGGUCGAAGACCCAGAUGAGCCUUACAUGAGCCUUCAGCAGCCAACAGAUGAACUAUAUGAAACUAUCUCCUCAAUUCAGCGUCAACGAGACACCAACAUGACAAGAUCAGGAAGCAAUGUGUAGUGACUGUCCACUUGGAUGAUCAGAAAUAGAUGGAAGAGACACUGAUUCAAGUUGAAAAAACUAUGAAAACAUUUCAACCUGAAGUCAGGUCAAUAUAAAUAUUAUGCAUCAUGUGAAUGUUUGAUUAAAGGUUCCAUAUUGUAUAAAGUGAGGUUUCCAUGUCUUCUGUGCUUAUAAAGCAGGUGUAGGUUCUAUAUUAAUACUGUGAAAGUAUGAAAGCGCUCUGACCACAGAGAAAUGCACACAGCCUGUAUUCAGAAAACUGAGCCUUAAACAAGCUGUCAAGACUUCCUGAACUUUGUGGUGUCACAACAAAGCUGUUACCGCCCUCAGCCAUGCCCCAAGCUCCGCCCACCUGGACCCACCAUCCAACUUUGCAGGAUUUGGUUUCUCUGAGUGUUUACCUGAAAUCUACUAUAUUUUUAUUAGAUCACUCAGAAAACAGUCAGCCAAUCAGAAGAGAGGCUCAGAGCUCCAGAGAGAAACUUGAGAGAGGAGAUGUAAAACUACACUGAGAUGGUUUUUGGUUCUAAAAACAACAAAUAUAUCUUCUUAUGCAUCAACGCUUAAAAUAAAACAGGAAAAGUGAAAGUGUAAAACAUGGGACCUUUAAAGCUAUAUGAAGAGAAGGACCUGGGUCAGGGACAAGUUUUAAUCACUUCUGAAAUCUACAUUUGAACAAAGUUAAGUCACUUGCAUCGUGUGCUGUGUAUUCUUGUUGUGUCAAGUUAUAACAGUGGUGUGAGGGACAUAAAUUGCGACGAGCUGCAGAGACCAUGCAGCUCUAUUUACACUUUAAGCUCAGGCUGGUCAAUAUGUGAUGACCACAAAAUCAAACAUCUCUGUUUUAGCAUGCUACGUGAUGUUCCACUCUCACUGAACUUACACAUUGCAAGACCUGUGCAGGCAAUACUUGAUACAGGAUCUCAGUGGAUCCAGCUCCAGCUGUAAUCCAGAACAUGUGACUGGACCUGAAGCACAUGUAACAUAUGCAUGAGCAGCUUUUUGACAUUAAUAAUGUUGUGACCAAUGUUAACUCUUCACCAAACGAGACGGUUAAAGUUAUUAAAAGGUUGCUGACUGUUGUACCUUUAGGGAGUAUUAAUAAGAAAGUAGAAGCCUGUAGAAGCACUUCCGUUUUAGAAGAGUUCACAUCAGCUCAUACGUCAGUGAGAGCUGAGAGUUUGAGGUUUAGGCAACCAGAGAACAGUGCAAACGAGUGUGUCCCAUCAGUGCAGUACACUGUGCACUACCAGCAGCAGUUGCUUCAUGACCAGUAUGGAUGGAUGGACUCUGUUCUUUGUUCUGCUUCUGCCACUAACUGUGUGUUUUGACAGCGAAGUGACUCUUGAGAAAACCCUGGGGAGCAAACCAGAUGUCACUCCACUAUGCAACAAUACUACAGCUAUCACACUGAUAGUAUGUUCCAUCAAGACAGAGAGGAGCGGAGGAGAACAGUGUCGUCUACUGUAUCAAUAUGGAGAGGGCUUUCACAGUAGUUGUGACUCCAGGUUCACACUUAAGAACGGCAGUGAGACUGCAUUACUCCACCUGACCAGUUUAACACCAGAGGACAGUGGGAACUACUCCUGUCAAUGUUCAUAUCAUGGUGGAACAUAUAUUGUCCAUCUCAAUAUCACUGUGGAGGAGGAUGAGGAGCUCAGCAGUUCAACAGAAAUCCUCAUCCCAUGUGCUUUGACUGGUGCAGCUGUGGUCAUCAUUAUAACUGGAGUUAUUCUGGGAUUUAUCCACAAGACCAAAAGAGUCCGUUCAUGGUCGAUCACAUCUGGAUUAUCUGUAAAUGAAACUCCUGGCUGUGUGGACCAAGAAGACCCAGAUGAGCCUUACAUGAGCCUUCAGCAGCCAACAAAUGAACUAUAUGAAACUAUCUCCUCAAUUCAGCGUCAACGAGACACCAACAUGACAAGAUCAGGAAGCAAUGUGUAGUGACUGUCCACUUGGAUGAUCAGAAAUAGAUGGAAGAGACACUGAUUCAAGUUGAAAAAACUAUGAAAACAUUUCAACCUGAAGUCAGGUCAAUAUAAAUAUUAUGCAUCAUGUGAAUGUUUGAUUAAAGGUUCCAUAUUGUAUAAAGUGAGGUUUCCAUGUCUUCUGUGCUUAUAAAGCAGGUGUAGGUUCUAUAUUAAUACUGUGAAAGUAUGAAAGCGCUCUGGCCACAGAGAAAUGCACACAGCCUGUAUUCAGAAAACUGAGCCUUAAACAAGCUGUCAAGACUUCCUGAACUUUGUGGUGUCACAACAAAGCUGUUACCGCCCUCAGCCAUGCCCCAAGCUCCGCCCAC